CUGGCGGCAGGCCUAACACAUGCAAGUCGAGCGGCAGCGGGAAGUAGUUUACUACUUUGCCGGCGAGCGGCGGACGGGUGAGUAAUGUCUGGGAAACUGCCUGAUGGAGGGGGAUAACUACUGGAAACGGUAGCUAAUACCGCAUGACCUCGCAAGAGCAAAGUGGGGGACCUUCGGGCCUCACGCCAUCGGAUGUGCCCAGAUGGGAUUAGCUAGUAGGUGGGGUAAUGGCUCACCUAGGCGACGAUCCCUAGCUGGUCUGAGAGGAUGACCAGCCACACUGGAACUGAGACACGGUCCAGACUCCUACGGGAGGCAGCAGUGGGGAAUAUUGCACAAUGGGCGCAAGCCUGAUGCAGCCAUGCCGCGUGUGUGAAGAAGGCCUUCGGGUUGUAAAGCACUUUCAGCGAGGAGGAAGGCCAAUAGCUUAAUACGCUGUUGGAUUGACGUUACUCGCAGAAGAAGCACCGGCUAACUCCGUGC
rnacentral:rRNA from 1 species